rnacentral:rRNA from 1 species
AUUGAACGCUGGCGGCAUGCCUUACACAUGCAAGUCGAACGGCAGCGGACCUUCGGGUGCCGGCGAGUGGCGAACGGGUGAGUAAUAUAUCGGAACGUACCUUUCAGUGGGGGAGUAACGUAGCGAAAGUUACGCUAAUACCGCAUAUUCUGUGAGCAGGAAAGCAGGGGAGUCGCAAGACCUUGCGCUGAUUGAGCGGCCGAUAUCAGAUUAGCUAGUUGGUGAGGUAAAGGCUCACCAAGGCGACGAUCUGUAGCGGGUCUGAGAGGAUGAUCCGCCACACUGGAACUGAGACACGGACCAGACUCCUACGGGAGGCAGCAGUGGGGAAGUUUUGGACAAUGGGCGCAAGCCUGAUCCAGCCAUGCCGCGUGAGUGAAGAAGGCCUCGG